rnacentral:lncRNA from 1 species
AAUUCAUAUCAGAUAAACAAGGAUUGAUCCAAUGAAAAGGUUGUUUAACCACAAUCUAAAAACAAGGAUUGUAGAUACAAAUAAAUUUUUUUUGACAAAAAAAAAAUCUAUUAUAAAAUUACUAAAAAAAAUAGCUCAUUACCAAUUUUUACUCCACUUCCAUUCUUUCCCCCACUACAUUUUUGUUUCCCCCCAAUAUUUUCUUCACUUUCAUUCUUCCCCCCACCCCCACUAAAAUAAAAUAAUUAUAAU